CCUACGGGUGGCAGCAGUGAGGAAUAUUGGUCAAUGGACGAGAGUCUGAACCAGCCAAGUAGCGUGAAGGAUGACUGCCCUAUGGGUUGUAAACUUCUUUUAUGUGGGAAUAAAAUGUUCCACGUGUGGGAUUUUGUAUGUACCAUAUGAAUAAGGAUCGGCUAACUCCGUGCCAGCAGCCGCGGUAAUACGGAGGAUCCGAGCGUUAUCCGGAUUUAUUGGGUUUAAAGGGAGCGUAGGUGGAUUCUUAAGUCAGUUGUGAAAGUUUGUGGCUCAACCGUAAAAUUGCAGUUGAAACUGGCAGUCUUGAGUACAGUAGACGUGGGCGGAAUUCGUGGUGUAGCGGUGAAAUGCUUAGAUAUCACGAAGAACUCCGAUUGCGAAGGCAGUUCACUGCACUGCAACUGACACUGAGGCUCGAAAGUGUGGGUAUCAAACAGGAUUAGAUACCCCUGUAGUC
rnacentral:rRNA from 1 species